GGUAGCGUGGCCGAGCGGUCUAAGGCGCUGGUUUAAGGUACCAGUCAUUUCGAUGGCGUGGGUUCGAAUCCCACCGCUGCCA
rnacentral:tRNA from 1 species